CUAACAGUUGAGUUCUUCUACGAUCAUCUAAUAAAAAACGUGUCAUGUCUUUUUUCUUUUCUUUUUUUUUUUGUUUUGGAACUCACGUGUCAUGUCUUUAUGCCGUAGUCUUUGGCAGCGAACGGCUUCGUAUGAUUCUGGUUUGGAGUCUCUAGUUUGAGUUGCUGCUGAGACUUUUGAGUCCUCCCUGUUGCAGAUACAGCGUAUCUUAGGACUCUGGAUUCUAGCAUCAAGCACAAUACAGCAGUUAUUAAGAAGUUAAAAGCAGAUUAACGAGGAGCAGCGCGAAGGGCUCAGAUAUACAAGCAGCUAGCUGAUCAGUGUGGCCUCUGUUUCCUAAUUCUUGUUAUCCUCUGUAUCUGCUUUGCUCUUGUGUCUCUCUGCUCUCUUUCAGUAUUUGAUACCUUCUCUUUCUGCCUUAUUCAUGUUUUCUGACAGAUAUGAUCAUUACUUCAUCAGAGGUGUACAAAGAGUUUUCUCUUGAAAGUCUUUCUUUCUAUGGAUGAAUUAGAUGCAGACAGAAACUCAAAGGCCACGAAAAAGCGCAGUACCCUAUAACUUCUUCUGGAGCUCUACUAUGUUGGAGUAAUAGAAGAUAGUAACAUCUUCAUCAGUAUUAUCAAAGGACCUCACCAGUUCUGAACAUAUGAAAGACAUCAUCAGUACUAGAAUAACAUCUUCUACUAUGUUGUAUAGUAACAUCUUCAUCAUUUUUAUGUUCAAUGCAUUGUUUCUCGAAGGCAUUUGUUCAAGCAGUCUCGUUGGAGAAAGCAGAGCCUAAAUCAAAUAAGCAAGCUGCAAAUGCAAAAGAUAAAAUUAUCUAUCACUGAAUGGCAUACUACUUUAUAUUCUCACUCUUUCUCUCAUAGGAACACAUUUACAAUGUGAUAAAAAGCAGAGCAGUGAUAAAAGAUGAAGCAUCCUAGGUUUAAUGAUCUAAGCCGCUUCAUCCUCUAGGAUAGCAAAUCUAUUAGCCAUUUGCUGAGCUGUUGUUGAGGUUGCUUUUGCUUUUAUGGAUCCCAGCUCUGUCUUUCUGUUGUUGACCGGUUUUGUCUUCUUUGUCUGUGCAGCUAGUCAGUCACAUGUUCUGCGUGUGUUGUCGAGCUGGUGAGCUGAGGACUCUUGGACCUCCAUAUCAUUGUUGGUUUCUCCAUGGGCUUGGGCUGGUUUCCAAUAUGUGAAAACUAGGACUAGGACCAGAUGAAAAAUGGAAACAACAUCAGGUUUAUUGGAGAACUUUGCAAGUUCAAAAUUGUACCUUCUCGUCUUGUAUUCAGUUGAGUUGUUUGAAGGUACAAAUGCUCAACACAUUAACACAUGCAUUCGAUAGAGAUGUUUUGAAAACAUAAAACAUGAAACUCAAUAAAAAAAAAUCUUUAAAAGGUUA